UACGUAGGUGGCAAGCGUUGUCCGGAUUUAUUGGGCCUAAAGCAUCCGUAGCCGGUUCUACAAGUCUUCCGUUAAAUCCACCUGCUUAACAGAUGGGCUGCGGAGGAUACUAUGGAGCUAGGAGGCGGGAGAGGCAAGCGGUACUUAGUGGGUAGGGGUAAAAUCCGUUGAUCCAUUGAAGACCACCAGUGGCGAAGGCGGCUUGCCAGAACGCACUCGACGGUGAGGGAUGAAAGCUGGGGGAGCAAACCGG
rnacentral:rRNA from 1 species